rnacentral:rRNA from 1 species
UUGACGGGGCCCGCACAAGCGGAGGAACAUUGUGGUUUAAUUCGAUGAUACGCGAGGAACCUUACCUGGGCUUAAAUGUAGAGUGCAUUUUUUAGAGAUAGAAAUUCCCUUCGGGGCUUUCUGCAAGGUGCUGCAUGGUUGUCGUCAGCUCGUGCCGUGAGGUGUCGGGUUAAGUCCCAUAACGAGCGCAACCCUUAUCGUUAGUUGCCAUCUGGUAAUGCAGGGGACUCUAGCGAAACUGCCACCGUAAGGUGAGAGGAAGGUGGGGAUGACGUCAAAUCAGCACGGCCCUUAUGUCCAGGGCUACACACGUGUUACAAUGGUCGGUACAGAGGGCAGCUACCUGGUGACAGGAUGCUAAUCUCGAAAACCGGUCUCAGUUCGGAUCGAAGUCUGCAACUCGACUUCGUGAAGCUGGAUUCGCUAGUAAUCGCGCAUCAGCUAUGGCGCGGUGAAUACGUUCCCGGGCCUU